rnacentral:rRNA from 1 species
UACGUAGGGCGCAAGCGUUUAUCCGGAAUUAUUGGGCGUAAAGAGCUCGUAGGCGGUUUGUCGCGUCUGCCGUGAAAGUCCGGGCUCAACUCCGGAUCUGCGGUGGGUACGGGCAGACUAGAGUGAUGUAGGGGAGACUGGAAUUCCUGGUGUAGCGGUGAAAUGCGCAGAUAUCAGGAGGAACACCGAUGGCGAAGGCAGGUCUCUGGGCAUUAAACUGACGCUGGAGGAGCGAAAGCAUGGGGAGCGAACAGG